ACGCUCGACACCUACGGGAGACAGCAGUGGGGAAUAUUGCACAAUGGGGGGAACCCUGAUGCAGCGACGCCGCGUGAGUGAAGAAGUACUUCGGUAUGUAAAGCUCUAUCAGCAGGGAANAAAAUGACGGUACCUGACUAAGAAGCCCCGGCUAACUACGUGCCAGCAGCCGCGGUAAUCUGAGGCGGGCUGGCAAGGC
rnacentral:rRNA from 1 species